rnacentral:rRNA from 1 species
AUUGAACGCUGGCGGCAGGCCUAACACAUGCAAGUCGAACGAGUGGCGGACUGGUGAGUAAUGUCUGGGACACUGCCUGAUCGCGGGGGAUAACUACUGGAAACGGUAUCUAAUACCGCAUACCAUCGGAUGUCCCCAGAUGGGCUUAGCUUGUCGGUGGGGUAACGGCUCACCUAGGCGACGAUCCCUAGCUGGUCUGAGAUGAUUACAAGCAGAACUGGAACUGAGAAACGGUCCAGACUCCGACGGGAGGCAGCAGUGGGGAAUAUUGCACAAUGGGGGCAAGCCUGAUGCAGCCAUGCCGCGUGUAUGAAGAAGGACCUAGGGUUUUAAAGUACUUUCAGUGGGGAGGCGUUACCCGAAGAAGAAGCACCGGCUAACUCCGUGCCAGCAGCCGCGGUAAUAC